rnacentral:rRNA from 1 species
UACGUAGGGUGCAAGCGUUGUCCGGAUUUAUUGGGUUUAAAGGGUGCGUAGGCGGCCUUUUAAGUCAGUGGUGAAAGCCCAUAGCUCAACUAUGGAACUGCCAUUGAUACUGAAAGGCUUGAGUACAGACGAGGUUGGCGGAAUGGAUGGUGUAGCGGUGAAAUGCAUAGAUACCAUCCAGAACUCCGAUUGCGUAGGCAGCUAACUAGGCUGUAACUGACGCUGAGGCACGAAAGCGUGGGGAGCAAACAGG